CCAUUACGCCAGCAUCCUAGCCGAAGCGCGGACCUCAGUCCCGGCUGGCCGUAUUACACCCUGGGCUAUAACACCUCCACCGAAGUGGAGGCCACAUUCCCAGAGCCUUUAUCCGGCCGCCGAAACUGAUGCUGGCCUGUCCAAACUGAGUAAACCGGUCAGAAGACCGGCCGAACAGUUUAAACAAGUCUGAUUGCAAGCGCUUCCCUUUCAACAAUUUCACGUGCUUUUUAACUCUCUUUCCAAAGUGCUUUUCAUCUUUCGAUCACUCUACUUGUGCGCUAUCGGUCUCUCGCCAAUAUUUAGCUUUAGAAGAAAUUUACCUCCCAUUUAGAGCUGCAUUCCCAAACAACUCGACUCGUCGAAGGAGAUUUACAUAGGGUGCCAUUUCCUGUCACAUACGGGAUUCUCACCCUCUAUGACGUCCUGUUCCAAGGAACUUAGACAGGCGGCUUCCCCAAAUCAUCCUCUACAAAUUACAAUGCGAACCCGAAGGCUAGCUUUCAAAUUUGAGCUGUUGCCGCUUCACUCGCCGUUACUAGGGCAA
rnacentral:rRNA from 1 species